rnacentral:sRNA from 1 species
AAGGAUCAUUAUUGAAUGAACUUGGUGUGGUUGUUGCUGGCCCUCUCGGGGGCAUGUGCACACCCACCAUCCUCAUCUCUCCACCUGUGCACCUCUUGUAGACCUGGAUAGACUUUCCGAGGCAACUCGGUCGGGAAGAUUGCUGCGCUCUGUGAGCCAGCUUUCUUUGCAUGUCCAGGCCUAUGUUUUUUAAUAUACCCCUAUAGAAUGUAACAGAAUGUAUCAUUGGGCCUUGUGCCUAUAAACCUUAUACAACUUUCAGCAACGGAUCUCUUGGCUCUCGCAUCGAUGAAGAACGCAGCGAAAUGCGAUAAGUAAUGUGAAUUGCAGAAUUCAGUGAAUCAUCGAAUCUUUGAACGCACCUUGCGCUCCUUGGUAUUCCGAGGAGCAUGCCUGUUUGAGUGUCAUUAAAUUCUCAACCUUAUUAGCUUUUGUUGAUAAUGGAUUGGAUGUGGGGGUUUCUUUUGCUGGCUUCUUCACAGAUAUCAGCUCCCCUUAAAUGCAUUAGCUGGUGCCCCGCGUGGACCAUCUAUUGGUGUGAUAAUUAUCUACGCCGUGGAUGUCUGCAAUCAUAUGGGUUUUGCACUGCUUCUAACCGUCUGUUCAUUCGGACAACACAUGACAAUUUGACCUCAAAUCAGGUAGGACUACCCGCUGAACUUAAGCAUAUCAAUAAGCGGAGGAAAAGAAACUAACAAGGAUUCCCCUAGUAACUGCGAGUGAAGCGGGAAAAGCUCAAAUUUAAAAUCUGGCGGUCUCCGGCCGUCCGAGUUGUAAUCUAGAGAAGUGUUAUCCGCGCUGGACCGUGUACAAGUCUCCUGGAAUGGAGCGUCAUAGAGGGUGAGAAUCCCGUCUUUGACACGGACUGCCAGGGCUUUGUGAUGCGCUCUCAAAGAGUCGAGUUGUUUGGGAAUGCAGCUCAAAAUGGGUGGUAAAUUCCAUCUAAAGCUAAAUAUUGGCGAGAGACCGAUAGCGA